rnacentral:lncRNA from 1 species
UGCUGAAAGCUACUAUAACAAAUAAUAUGAAAUGAUCGGGAUGUGAAAAUUAUCUAAAUCGUCACCUAGAUCACUUAGAUCGUCAUCUAAAUAAAUCACCUCACAAAAUGUUUAGCUGUUGUCCAGGUUGUGGGACUGGUUAUCCUAAGAAAAAAAUCAUCAAAAUCAUAGCGAGAAAGAAAUUGUCGAAACAUUCUCUUCAUAAGUUUCCAAAAGAUCUUGAAUUUUUAAAGUAUGGGUCAAUUCCAUCCAGAAAAAACUAGGAGCCAAAUCAAUAUUCAAGAAUCUGAAGCGAGCAUUUUCCUAUAUCAGCUUUUAUUCAUGAGAACAGAUACAAAUUCAACUAGGCAAAAGAUAUAUAGUCCACUUAAACGAUAUAAAUUAAAAUCUGAUGCUCUUCCAACAGUAUUUCCGGAUAUUCCAAAAAAAACUUGAGAAAACUAACAUUUUUCUGAAAGGACAACAACUUUAUCUAUUUCUAUUUAAAGGUUAUACUUUAGAAAAUGCAUAUUGACAUUUCAAAGUAGUUUAAAUGCAUUAAUAUUUUUUUCAGAUUUGAGCUUGAUAAACUUCGUUUUAACUCUCAAGUUGAACGUUUAUUUAAAGAAGAUGUGAUAAAUAAUUUCAUGGAUAUAAAAAACCCUAGAUAAAUCGUGUAUACCCAAAGGCAUUAAUGUAAUAUAUAAUAA